rnacentral:tRNA from 1 species
GGGGGAUUUCCCGAGUGGCCAAAGGGGACAGACUGUAAAUCUGCAGGCUUCGCCUUCGGUGGUUCGAAUCCACCAUCUCCCACCA